UACGGAGGGUGCAAGCGUUGUUCGGAAUUACUGGGCGUAAAGGGCGCGUAGGUGGUUGUGUAAGUCGGAUGUGAAAUCCCGAGGCUCAAUUUCGGAACCGCAUCCGAUACUGCAUGACUAGAGUGCAGCAGAGGGAAACGGAAUUCCUGGCGUAGAGGUGAAAUUCGUAGAUAUCAGGAGGAACACCGGUGGCGAAGGCGGUUUCCUGGGCUGACACUGACACUGAGGCGCGGAAGCGUGGGUAGCAAAC
rnacentral:rRNA from 1 species